CCCGUAAGGACCUUACAAGAAAUUAGAAGUUUAGCUUUAACGCUAAACAAUUCAUCUACUAGAACUUUUGGAAGGGUUAAAAAACAAUUACUUGAGAUUAACAUAUUGUAUAUUGAGUACGACGGCGUUAUUUUGUGCGUGGACAUCUCUCUGCUUGCUGGCAUCCAUAGUUUUCAACAAAAUUCUCUCUACCAUAUUAUAGGAGAAAUUAAGUUGACUGAUUCUAAUCUUUGGUUGGAAACGUUCCCUGAGGAUCACUUUUUGAUACCUACUAUAAAACUUCAAGCACGCAUUUGUAAAUGUGCCGAGGGGCUUGACGUUGGUUUAUUUAUGGAAGCAAUAAAGUUGCGUAGGACGUAUCUGGAAAGCCUUACUAAUGAAAGUGAAAUGAGAAUAAGUUAGGAUUCUGAAUAUUAUUUACCUUAAGCAAAAUUCCUUUGGGAUU